AGCAGACUUACUGGGGACACGCUGUAGAGCUCCGAUGAUGGCUGUUGGCCGAAUGGAUGAAUGGCUUCAUUAACUUCACUGCAACACGCAGGAGUCCUUGAUCUCCCCCCUUGAAAGGGGGUGCCCUUGGCUGCUCUCCGGUGUGGGAGUCUUCCCCUUAAUCCUUGCUCCUGGACGUUUGCAUUUUCACAACGACCCUUUGUGGCAGGUGGGUCCCUGCCUUCUUCAGAUGACCUUGAAUAACACUGUCCUCUGCACUUCUGGCCGCCACGGAAGAGGCAUGACUGCUGUGAGUCUGGGGCCUUGGAACCAUUUUAGACCAAGGCAGGAAAAAUAAACAGAUGGGCGAGGCUGGAGCACAGUGGCAUGAUCUCGGCUAACUGCAACCUCUGCCUGCCUCCCAGGUUCAAGCAAUUCUCCUGCCUCAGCCUCCCAAGUAGCUGGGAUUACAGCAAACAAUGGACUAUUGACUAAGCUUUCAGAGCUGUGGGUGUUCUCAGAGGGAGGCCAGCCAGAACACCAGCAUCU
rnacentral:lncRNA from 10 species